AGUGAACGCUGGCGGUGGGCCUAACACAUGCAAGUCGAACGGCAGCACAAUAAGAGCUUGCUCUUACGGGUGGCGAGUGGCGGACGGGUGAGGAAUACAUCGGAAUCUACUUUUUCGUGGGGGAUAACGUAGGGAAACUUACGCUAAUACCGCAUACGACCUACGGGUGAAAGCAGGGGAUCUUCGGACCUUGCGCGAUUGAAUGAGCCGAUGUCGGAUUAGCUAGUUGGCGGGGUAAAGGCCCACCAAGGCGACGAUCCGUAGCUGGUCUGAGAGGAUGAUCAGCCACACUGGAACUGAGACACGGUCCAGACCCCUACGGGAGGCAGCAGUGGGGAAUAUUGGACAAUGGGCGCAAGCCUGAUCCAGCCAUACCGCGUGGGUGAAGAAGGCCUUCGGGUUGUAAAGCCCUUUUGUUGGGAAAGAAAAGCAGCAGGUUAAUACCCCGCUGUUCUGACGGUACCCAAAGAAUAAGCACCGGCUAACUUCGUG
rnacentral:rRNA from 1 species